GAACCAGAUGGAGAAAAUCCUCGCUGCGUACAGAAAGGCUUCGAAGCAAUGGUGCUCCACCCAGAACAAGCUGGCUCAAGUGAGGCAACGGGGCAGGAAGCGCACCAUGGUCGGAUGAAUGGAGAAGAAGAAAAAUAUGUGGCAUGGAA